UCAGUCGACUCCUACGGGGAGGCAGCAGUGGGGAAUAUUGCACAAUGGGGGAAACCCUGAUGCAGCCAUGCCGCGUGUGUGAAGAAGGACCUUCGGGUUGUAAAGCACUUUCAGUAGGGAGGAAGGUAGUGUAGUUAACACCUGCAUUAUUUGACGUUACCUACAGAAGAAGCACCGGCUAACUCCGUGCCAGCAGCCGCGGUAAUACGGAGGGUGCGAGCGUUAAUCGGAAUUACUGGGCGUAAAGCGCAUGCAGGCGGCCUGUUAAGUCAGAUGUGAAAGCCCGGGGCUUAACCUCGGAAUUGCAUUUGAAACUGGCAGGCUAGAGUCUUGUAGAGGGGGGUAGGAAUUUCAGGUGUAGCGGUGAAAUGCGUAGAGAUCUGAAGGAAUACCAGUGGCGAAGGCGGCCCCCCUGGACAAAGACUGACGCUCAGAUGCGAAAGCGUGGGGAGCAAACAGGAUUAGAUACCCCUGGUAG
rnacentral:rRNA from 1 species